rnacentral:rRNA from 1 species
AUUGAACGCUGGCGGCAUGCCUUACACAUGCAAGUCGAACGGUAACAGGUCUUCGGCUGCUGACGAGUGGCGAACGGGUGAGUAAUACAUCGGAACGUGCCCGAUCGUGGGGGAUAACGAAGCGAAAGCUUUGCUAAUACCGCAUACGAUCUACGGAUGAAAGCAGGGGACCGCAAGGCCUUGCGCGAACGGAGCGGCCGAUGGCAGAUUAGGUAGUUGGUGGGAUAAAAGCUUACCAAGCCGACGAUCUGUAGCUGGUCUGAGAGGACGACCAGCCACACUGGACUUGAAACACGCCCCAGCCCCCUACGGGAGGCCGCAGUGGGAAUUUUUGGCAAAUGGGCGAACCCCUGUCCCAUUCUUCCCGCGGGCAGGAUGAAGCCCUUCGGUUUGUAAACUCCUUUUGUACGGAACAAAAAGCCUCUUUUUAAUCCCUGGGGUCCAUACCGGUCCCGUAAAAAUAACCCCCGGCUACCUCCGG